AUUGAACGCUGGCGGCAGGCCUAACACAUGCAAGUCGAGCGAGCGGCGGACGGGUGAGGAAUGUCUGGGAAACUGCCUGAUGGAGGGGGAUAACUACUGGAAACGGUAGCUAAUACCGCAUACCAUCAGAUGUGCCCAGAUGGGAUUAGCUAUGAGGUGGGGUAACGGCUCACCUAGGCGACGAUCCCUAGCUGGUCUGAGAGGAUGACCAGCCCCCCGGCACCUGCGACACGGUCCAGACUCCUCCGGGAGGCAGCAGUGGGGACUCUUGCACAUUCGGCGCAAGCCUGAUGCAGCCAUGCCGCGUGUGUGAAGAAGGCCUUCGGGUUGUACAGCACUUUCAGCGGGGAGGCGUUACCCGCAGAAGAAGCACCGGCUAACUCCGUGCCAGCAGCCGCGGUAAUUC
rnacentral:rRNA from 1 species